GAUGAACGCUAGCGGGAGGCCUAACACAUGCAAGCCGAGCGGUAUUUGUUCUUCGGAACAGAGAGAGCGGCGCACGGGUGCGGAACACGUGUGCAACCUGCCUUUAUCUGGGGGAUAGCCUUUCGAAAGGAAGAUUAAUACCCCAUAAUAUAUUGAGUGGCAUCACUUAAUAUUGAAAACUCCGGUGGAUAGAGAUGGGCACGCGCAAGAUUAGAUAGUUGGUGAGGUAACGGCUCACCAAGUCAAUGAU
rnacentral:rRNA from 1 species